UUGAGAAGCUUGCUGGAGGUAUCAGAAGUGCUAAUGCUGACAUGAGUAACGAUAAUGGGUGUGAAAAACACCCACGCCGAAAGACCAAGGUUUCCUGCGCAACGUUAAUCGACGCAGGGUUAGUCGGUCCCUAAGGCGAGGCUGAAAAGCGUAGUCGAUGGAAAACAGGUUAAUAUUCCUGUACUUCUGGUUAUUGCGAUGGAGGGACGGAGAAGGCUAGGCCAGCUUGGCGUUGGUUGUCCAAGUUUAAGGUGGUAGGCUGGAAUCUUAGGUAAAUCCGGGAUUCUAAGGCCGAGAGCUGAUGACGAGUUAUCUUUUAGAUGACGAAGUGGUUGAUGCCAUGCUUCCAAGAAAAGCUUCUAAGCUUCAGGUAACCAGGAACCGUACCCCAAACCGACACAGGUGGUUGGGUAGAGAAUACCAAAG
rnacentral:rRNA from 1 species